rnacentral:lncRNA from 1 species
GAUGUGCGCAUGCGUAGUGGGUGCGAACCGUUCUCUGCCCCGCCCAUAAUUAUUAGGCGGAACACAGUUCACACUGGGCGCCUCCAACUCUCUGGAAUUCUAGGCAACAGAUUAACACUUUGUGAAUCUCGAAGAGCUGCACUCCUGCUAAAUAUUGGAGUUAAUGCUGAUCCUUUGGAAGUCUCUGAAGGUUGCAAGAUUGUGCUGGGAGCCUCUGGCUUCAUUUGCCCUUCUCACACCUUAUUUUAAUACAAGGUCGAGCACACUGAACUACCUGGAGUAAAGGGGCAUCAUGUCUGAAACUGAUGCUUAAGUGGCUCAGAAAAAAAAUUCUGGGAGCUAGAGGGAGAGAGAGACAGAGGAGUGUGGUAAAAAGUUAUCAUUUGGGGGGUCUGCGUAAAAGGUAUAUGAGGAUUCUUUGUACGGAUUUUGCAACUUUUCUCCCAGUCUGAAAUUAUGUCAAAAUAUAAAAUUAAAAGGCAAAAUUAAAAGAA